UACGUAGGGGGCAAGCGUUGUCCGGAAUCAUUGGGCGUAAAGCGCGUGUAGGCGGCUUAGCAAGUCAGGCGUGAAAGCCCCGGGCUCAACCUGGGAACCGCGCUUGAGACUGGCAUGCUCGAGUUCGGGAGAGGAUGGUGGAAUUCCCAGUGUAGAGGUGAAAUUCGUAGAUAUUGGGAAGAACACCGAUGGCGAAGGCAGCCAUCUGGACCGACACUGACGCUGAGGCGCGAAAGCGUGGGGAGCAAACAGG
rnacentral:rRNA from 1 species